AUUGAACGCUGGCGGCAUGCCUUACACAUGCAAGUCGAACGGCAGCACGGGUGCUUGCACCUGGUGGCGAGUGGCGAACGGGUGAGUAAUACAUCGGAACGUACCUUAUCGUGGGGGAUAACGCAGCGAAAGCUGUGCUAAUACCGCAUACGCCCUGAGGGGGAAAGCGGGGGAUCGCAAGACCUCGCGCGAUUAGAGCGGCCGAUGCCUGAUUAGCCAGUUGGUGGGGUAAAAGCCCACCAAGGCGACGAUCAGUAGCUGGUCGGAGAGGACGAUCAGCCACACUGGGACUGAGACACGGCCCAGACUCCUACGGGAGGCAGCAGUGGGGAAUUUUGGACAAUGGGGGCAACCCUGAUCCAGCAAUGCCGCGUGAGUGAAGAAGGCCUUCGGGUUGUAAAGCUCUUUUGUCAGGGAAGAAACACCGGCUCUAACACAGUCCGGGAAUGACGGUACCUGAAGAAUAAGCACCGGCUAACUACGUGCCAGCCGCCGCCGUAA
rnacentral:rRNA from 1 species